CUGCCAGACUCCUACGGGAGGCAGCAGUGGGGAAUAGUGCACAAUGGGGGAAACCCUGAUGCAGCGACGCCGCGUGGGUGAAGAAGCGCCUCGGCGCGUAAAGCCCUGUCAGCAGGGGAGAAAAUGACGGUACCUGAAGAAGAAGCCCCGGCUAACUACGUGCCAGCAGCCGCGGUAAUACGUAGGGGGCAAGCGUUAUCCGGAUUCACUGGGUGUAAAGGGAGCGUAGACGGCGACGCAAGUCUGGAGUGAAAGCCCGGGGCCCAACCCCGGGACUGCUCUGGAAACUGCGUCGCUGGAGUACGGGAGGGGCAGGCGGAAUUCCUGGUGUAGCGGUGAAAUGCGUAGAUAUCAGGAGGAACACCGGUGGCGAAGGCGGCCUGCUGGACUGCAACUGACGUUGAGGCCCGAAAGCGUGGGGAGCAAACAGGAUUAGAUACCCCGGUAC
rnacentral:rRNA from 1 species